rnacentral:rRNA from 1 species
AGCGAGAAUACGAAGGAUGUGCUCCUAUCAUGUUCAUUCUUACAUUUGGAAAAGAAGGGAUUCAUUGAGCAGUUCUCCGAAAUUUCUUCAAUAAACCAGCGAAUUUAUCAUCUGGUCCAUCAGGGAAUAAAGGUGAGAGAGCAAAUGAGUUUCUGAAGUCAGAUGAGAUUAUAUAGCAGGUUGACUCUUUGUAGUGCUGGUUCAGAUGUAGGUCAGGUUACAUGUUAGCCAAAAAAACACAUUAUAUUGCCUUUGUUUUUUACAUCGAGGUGUAAAUGUUGAGAAGUAUAUUAUUCUGAUUGAUAAUAGUUUAAGGAGCAUUACAAAGGAUCGCUACAAAGAAUUUGAAGGAUUCAAGGAAAUGUUUUCUCAGUCUUAUCCAUCACAUAACUUUGGGUUCUAUCAUUUGUGUGGCACAUACAUUUGUAAAGAAGUGAACUGUAUUUGCAACUCUAAAUUUUAAUCAAUGCAAAUCGAC